rnacentral:rRNA from 1 species
CCUACGGGUGGCAGCAGUAGGGAAUCUUUCACAAUGGGCGAAAGCCUGAUGGAGCAACGCCGCGUGCAGGAUGAAGGCCUUCGGGUUGUAAACUGCUUUUAUAAGCGAGGAAUAUGAUGGUAACUUAUGAAUAAGGAUCGGCUAACUACGUGCCAGCAGCCGCGGUCAUACGUAGGAUCCGAGCAUUAUCCGGGGUGACUGGGUGUAAAGAGUUGCGUAGGUGGCAUAAUAAGUAGCUAGUGAAAUCUGGUGGCUCAACCAUUCAGACUAUUAGGUAAACUGUUAAGCUCGAGACCGUUAGGGGUAAGCGGAAUUUCUAGUGUAGGAGUGAAAUCCGUAGAUAUUAGAAGGAACACCAAUAGCGUAGGCAGGUUGCUGGGACGGUUCUGACACUAAGGCACGAAAGCGUAGGGAGCAAACGGGAUUAGAUACCCUUGUAGUC